UACGUUGGGGGCAAGCGUUGUCCGGAAUCAUUGGGCGUAAAGCGCGCGUAGGCGGCCCGGUAAGUCCGCUGUAAAAGUCCAGGGCUCAACCCUGGAAAGCCGGUGGAUACUGUCGGGCUAGAGUCCGGAAGAGGCGAGUGGAAUUCCCGGUGUAGCGGUGAAAUGCGCAGAUAUCGGGAGGAACACCAAUGGCGAAGGCAGCUCGCUGGGACGUUACUGACGCUGAGACGCGAAAGCGUGGGGAGCAAACAGG
rnacentral:rRNA from 1 species